AACAAUUCAAUGACAAUCAUGUACGCUUUGGACACUUAAUAACGAUCUGUUCAAAUAUUAUAGACAUAUACCCUGCAGCCAAUAAAUGACCAUGUCUACUGUGAAAUAACAUGUAUCCUUCAGGGGUUAAAUGCAUUAGUUGACAAUUAACCAUAGACUAGAAUUAUUUAACAUCCAGACUUCUACGUAACCGGCCAUUAGCUAUGGGCCAAUGUUUAUGGACAACUGGACUAUAUAAGAUCCAGCUUUGGACUUGGAAGAAGGACAGAUUGGUACAGGGAUUUGGUACCGGAGAUUCCGCCAAGGUCUCCCCCCUCGUGGGUAGGCUGGAACAUAUGCGCUUAAUAUCCAAACGUACUCUAUCAGGA
rnacentral:lncRNA from 1 species